rnacentral:rRNA from 1 species
CGGUGUUCAACUGGCGUGUCCGCGGGACGUCCUGCCGGUGGGCUUAGCCCGCAAGGGCGGCCCAACUUCAAAUCCCAUCGCGGUGCUCUUCACUGAGUGUCGAGGUGGGCCGGCACGUUUACUUUGAACAAAUUAGAGUGCUUAAAGCAGGCUAAAACUUCGCCUGAAUACUGUGUGCAUGGAAUAAUGGAAUAGGACCUCGGUUCUAUUUUGUUGGUUUUCGGAACCCCGAGGUAAUGAUUAAUAGGAACGGAUGGGGGCAUUCGUAUUGCGACGUUAGAGGUGAAAUUCUUGGAUCGUCGCAAGACGGACAGAAGCGAAAGCAUUUGCCAAAAACGCUUUCAUUGAUCAAGAACGAAAGUUAGAGGUUCGAAGGCGAUCAGAUACCGCCCUAGUUCUAACCAUAAACGAUGCCAGCUAGCGAUCCGUCGACGUUCCUCCGAUGACUCGACGGGCAGCUUCCGGGAAACCAAAGCUUUUGGGUUCCGGGGGAAGUAUGGUUGCAAAGCUGAAACUUAAAGGAAUUGACGGAAGGGCACCACCAGGAGUGGAGCCUGCGGCUUAAUUUGACUCAACACGGGAAACCUCACCAGGCCCGGGACACCGGAAGGAUUGACAGAUUGAGAGCUCUUUCUUGAUUCGGUGGGUGGUGGUGCAUGGCCGUUCUUAGUUGGUGGAGCGAUUUGUCUGGUUAAUUCCGAUAACGAACGAGACUCUAGCCUGCUAACUAGGCGUAUUUUCGACAUCUCAAAGGUCCGUCGUCCCGGCCCUCGGGUCGUGGGCGUGCGCGAUUUUUACUGUCGGCGUACUAUCAAUUCUUCUUAGAGGGACAGGUGGCUUCUAGCCGCACGAGAUUGAGCAAUAACAGGUCUGUGAUG